UACGGAGGGUGCAAGCGUUAAUCGGGAUUACCGGGCGUAAAGCGCACGCAGGCGGUUUGUUGAGUCAGAUGUGAAAUCCCCGGGCUUAACCUGGGAAUUGCAUCUGAUACUGGCCAGCUAGAGUCUUGUAGAGGGGGGUAGAAUUCCAGGUGUAGCGGUGAAAUGCGUAGAGAUGUGGAGGAAUACCGGUGGCGAAGGCGGCCCCCUGGACGAAGACUGACGCUCAGGUGCGAAAGCGUGGGGAGCAAACAGG
rnacentral:rRNA from 1 species